rnacentral:tRNA from 3 species
GCCCCUGUAGUAUAAAUUAAUCACGCUAGCCUUGUAAACUAGAAAUGGGAUCCAUAACCCCUAGGGCA